GAUGAACGCUGGCGGCGUGCCUAAUACAUGCAAGUCGAGCGAACAGACGAGGAGCUUGCUCCUCUGACGUUAGCGGCGGACGGGUGAGUAACACGUGGAUAACCUACCUAUAAGACUGGGAUAACUUCGGGAAACCGGAGCUAAUACCGGAUAAUAUAUUGAACCGCAUGGUUCAAUAGUGAAAGACGGUUUUGCUGUCACUUAUAGAUGGAUCCGCGCCGCAUUAGCUAGUUGGUAAGGUAACGGCUUACCAAGGCGACGAUGCGUAGCCGACCUGAGGGGGUGAUCGGCCACACUGGAACUGAGACACGGUCAAGACUCCUACGGGAGGCAGCAGUAGGGAAUCGUCCGCAAUGGGCGAAAGCCUGACGGAGCAACGCCGCGUGAGUGAUGAAGGUCUUCGGAUCGUAAAACUCUGUUAUUAGGGAAGAACAAAUGUGUAAGUAACUAUGCACGUCUUGACGGUACCUAAUCAGAAAGCCACGGCUAACUACGUG
rnacentral:rRNA from 1 species